rnacentral:lncRNA from 1 species
AUGAACGGAGACGACGCCUUUGCAAAGAGACCCAGGGAUGAUGAUAAAGCAUCAGAGAAGAGAAGCAAGGCCUUCAAUGAUAUUGCCACAUACUUCUCUAAGAAAGAGUGGGAAAAGAUGAAAUACUCGGAGAAAAUCAGCUAUGUGUAUAUGAAGAGAAACUAUGAGGCCAUGACUAAACUAGCUAGGUUUCAAUGUCACCCUCCCACCUUUCAUGUGUAAUAAACAGGCCACAGACUUCCAGGGGAAUUAUUUUGAUAAUGACCGUAACCGCAGGAUUCAGGGUGUUGAACGUCCUCAGAUGACUUUUGGCAGGCUCCAGAGAAUCAUCCCGAAGAUCAUGCCCAAGAAGCCAGCAGAGGAAGGAAAUGAUUCGAAGGGAGUGUCAGAAGCAUCUGGCCCACAGAACGAUGGGAAACAGCUGCGCCGCCCCGGGAAAAGCAAAUACUUCUGAGAAGAUUAAUAAGAGAUCUGGACCCAAAAGGGGGAGACAUGCCUGGACCCACAGACUGCGUGAGAGAAACCAGCUGGUGAUUUAUGAAGAGAUCAGAGACCCUGAGGAAGAUGAUGAGUAACUCC